rnacentral:rRNA from 1 species
CACCUCGGGUGACAGGGAGACAGGUGGUGCAUGGUUGUCGUCAGCUCGUGUCGUGAGAUGUUGGGUUAAGUCCCGCAACGAGCGCAACCCCUACGUUUAGUUGCUAACGCGUGAAGGCGAGCACUCUAGACGAACUGCCGUUGACAAAACGGAGGAAGGUGGGGAUGACGUCAAAUCAUCAUGCCCCUUAUGUUCUGGGCUACACACGUGCUACAAUGGCCGGUACAGACGGAGGCGAAGCCGCGAGGCGGAGCAAAUCCGAAAAAGCCGGUCUCAGUUCGGAUUGCAGGCUGCAAUUCGCCUGCAUGAAGUCGGAAUCGCUAGUAAUCGCAGGUCAGCAUACUGCGGUGAAUACCGGUUCCCGGGCCUU